ensembl:lncRNA
CAGAGGAACCAAGGAGACAAGUGAACAGAGACGGAGCUGUGAGAGCUGUGACGAGGAGGUGGGACUCAGGUGUGUGGGACAGGUGUGAGGGCAGGUGUGUGGGACAGGUGUGAGGACAGGUGUGAGGACAGGUGUGAGGACAGGUGUGAGGACAGGUGUGUGGGACAGGUGUGUGGGACAGGUGUGAGCAGGUGUGGAAGAGGUGUAUGGACAGGAGUAGGACAGGCGUUUGACAGGUGUGUGUGGACAGGUGUGUGUGUGGACAGGUGGGUGUGGACAGGUGUGUGUGGACAGGUGGGUGUGGACAGGCGUGGCACAGGUGUGUGUGGACAGGUGUGUGUGUGGACAGGUGUGUGUGUGGACAGGUGUGUGUGUGGACAGGCGUGGCACAGGUGUGUGUGGACAGGUGUGUGAAAUGUGGAUAAAAAGCUGGAAUCUCUUAAAUAUGGCAACUGGAUUCAGACGUAUUAUAAAGUGUGUGAUCUUUG